rnacentral:lncRNA from 1 species
CUGUUUAUUGUAUUGUAGGAGCAUAUGCCAAGACAUGUGGUUAGGCCAUCUGAUUACCUUAUCUGCUGUAUAAUAUUGUUUCCCAUUUCUUUAGGUUAUGGUGGGAAGGAAAGGAACAAAAGUUCUGACCAAUGAGGCCGGUGAAGUCACAAGGCAAGCGGAAAUUGUUUGCCCAUCAAUUUGUUUAUCUGAUUUAUUCAAACUAGCUGUUGGGAUGACUGCGUUUUGCGCUGCAGCAGUCUACUUGGAGAUCAAGUAUAUACGUGAAAGGCAAGCAGCGUUAGAAGAAAAAGGAUGAUUGAGUGUCAGACGUGUCUUUAGUUUCCAUGAGCAAUCGUUACUAUGAUUGCUAUGUCUCGUAGCUUGUAUAUGUCUCGACUUUGUGUAAGUAUUUUUUUUAAAAGGAGGAAGACCCCCGGCCUAUGCAUUUGAGCGAUGCAUGCACCCAUUUUGUUAUAUGAUGGAUGAUUUUAAUUCGACUUGGAGUUUUCUUGAUUUGAAUAUGAAAUAGUGUUGGAUUAAAUAUUGGACAA